rnacentral:rRNA from 1 species
AGAGUUUGAUCCUGGCUCAGAUUGAACGCUGGCGGAAUGCUUUACACAUGCAAGUCGAACGGCAGCACGGGUGCUUGCACCUGGUGGCGAGUGGCGAACGGGUGAGUAAUGCGUCGGAACGUACCGAGUAAUGGGGGAUAACGCAGCGAAAGUUGUGCUAAUACCGCAUACGCCCUGAGGGGGAAAGUGGGGGACCGCAAGGCCUCACGUUAUUCGAGCGGCCGACGUCUGAUUAGCUAGUUGGUGGGGUAAAGGCCUACCAAGGCGACGAUCAGUAGCGGGUCUGAGAGGAUGAUCCGCCACACUGGGACUGAGACACGGCCCAGACUCCUACGGGAGGCAGCAGUGGGGAAUUUUGGACAAUGGGGGCAACCCUGAUCCAGCCAUUCCGCGUGAGUGAAGAAGGCCUUCGGGUUGUAAAGCUCUUUCAGCAGGAACGAAACGGUACGCUCUAACAUAGUGUGCUAAUGACGGUACCUGCAGAAGAAGCACCGGCUAACUACGUGCCAGCAGCCGCGGUAAUACGUAGGGUGCGAGCGUUAAUCGGAAUUACUGGGCGUAAAGCGUGCGCAGGCGGAUUGUUAAGCAAGAUGUGAAAUCCCCGGGCUUAACCUGGGAAUGGCAUUUUGAACUGGCAGUCUAGAGUGUGUCAGAGGGGGGUGGAAUUCCACGUGUAGCAGUGAAAUGCGUAGAGAUGUGGAGGAACACCAAUGGCGAAGGCAGCCCCCUGGGAUAACACUGACGCUCAUGUACGAAAGCGUGGGUAGCAAACAGGAUUAGAUACCCUGGUAGUCCACGCCCUAAACGAUGUCAACUAGCUGUUGGGGCCUUCGGGCCUUAGUAGCGCAGCUAACGCGUGAAGUUGACCGCCUGGGGAGUACGGUCGCAAGAUUAAAACUCAAAGGAAUUGACGGGGACCCGCACAAGCGGUGGAUGAUGUGGAUUAAUUCGAUGCAACGCGAAAAACCUUACCUACCCUUGACAUGUCUGGAAUCCUUUAGAGAUAGAGGAGUGCUCGCAAGAGAACCGGAACACAGGUGCUGAUGGCUGUCGUCAGCUCGUGUGUGAGAUGUUGGUUAAGUCCCGCAACGGCGCACCCUUGUCAUGUUGCUACGAAAGGGCACUCUAAUGAACUGCCGUACAAGCGGAGAAGGGGGUGACGCAAUCUCAUGGCCUUAUGGUAGGU